rnacentral:rRNA from 1 species
UACGUAGGGGGCAAGCGUUGUCCCGGAAUCAUUGGGCGUAAAGAGCGUGUAGGCGGCUCGGUAAGUCCGCUGUGAAAGUCCCAGGGCUCAACCCUGGAAUGCCGGUGGAAACUGUCGAGCUCGAGUCCGGAAGAGGCGAGUGGAAUUCCUGGUGUAGCGGUGAAAUGCGCAGAUAUCAGGAGGAACACCUGUGGCGAAAGCGGCGCACUGGACCACAUCUGACGUGAGGCGCGAAAGCUAGGGGAG